AACAAAGAAAGGCUUCAUACAUUGAGCUCUAGAGAUGGGUCAAUGUGGAUGAGCAUUGGAUGAGUUCCAAUGUCCACAGGCAGGAAAAGGGCAUCCUAGUUCCAGAAGGUGGGACCUUUUCUCUGCCCCUCAGACAAUUGUGUGGGGCCUCACAUUACAUGAAAGUAGAUCUUCCUUAUAUAAUGUGUGUGUGUGUGUGUAUCAAGAAGCUAACUUAUUUCUAUUCAGAUGAUCAAGGAAAAAAUAUGAAAGAUAUCAGAUUAUUUUAAAAUUCACAUGGCUAACAUUUAAUGCAUACAAAAUUUGAGCCCACUGUAUAUAAACAUUUAUAUGUUUUGUGAUGGUUGAUAUGAUACAAAAAUAUCAAAAUACAUUCAUGCAAGCCCUCACUUAAAAAUUCUGUACUUUUCAAUCACAGAUUGUAAAGAUAGGGUAUUACCAGGCACCAAGUGGCGGCACAUAAAACCAUUUAGGUGGGGAAAAGCCCCAGCUUCUUUGUGCAGAUUAAACAAUCUAGACUAUAAAAUGAUAGUGCUGUUAUUACACUUCAUGCAAAGGGAGUCCUUUGAAAGCAAAGCCUCUAGCCAAUGCUCAGUGAAAUUAUGAAUAUGAAACCCAGUUCCAUCUAUGAGGAUCCACUCAAUAAAGAUCAGCAGCCUCUCUCUGUGGCAGGUAGUACUUACUCUGUGUCUUUAAGGGAUAGACGAAUUAUGUGUAAUAUAUUUGGAUUUUAUCCUUGAAUCAAAUUACUGUCAAUGUGUACAAUUAUUUGUCUUGUAAUGAUCUGAUAAAGACUGUUAUAUGCCACGUUACCAGCAUGUGAAUGAAACAGGGUACAAAUAAUGUUUUUUUUAGACAUGAGUGAAUAAUGAUUUGCAAAUUUAUAAUAAAAGAUCUUUAGUAUAAUAUUUUUUAAUAAUAGGCUGGAAAAGAGCUAGAUCUGUAAGGUGGUAAAUAUCAGGGAACAUCCCUGAGCAUCCUCACAGAGACUGUGUGUGUCUGGGACCAGUGCCCGCACAGGAACUCGUCCAGCUUCUGCCUUACCUGGAGUCUAACUACCUCCCUUCUCAGCAUCAACCUGAGUGAUGACCAGCUGCACAGGAGCCCUAGGGGAGAUGCAUGGGCAGUGGUGUUGACCUUCACAUAUGUGGAACACCCUGAUGCCAAGUUUUAAUCUGUAAGCCUAGAGAAUAGAAAAAUUAUUCAGAAUAAAACUCUGUCAAUUUCUUUGGAGAUGUGUGUCUUUGU
rnacentral:lncRNA from 1 species